GACGAACGCUGGCGGCGUGCCUAAUACAUGCAAGUAGAACGCUGAAGACUUUAGCUUGCUAAAGUUGGAAGAGUUGCGAACGGGUGAGUAACGCGUAGGUAACCUGCCUACUAGCGGGGGAUAACUAUUGGAAACGAUAGCUAAUACCGCAUAACAGCAUUUAACCCAUGUUAGAUGCUUGAAAGGAGCAAUUGCUUCACUAGUAGAUGGACCUGCGUUGUAUUAGCUAGUUGGUGAGGUAACGGCUCACCAAGGCGACGAUACAUAGCCGACCUGAGAGGGUGAUCGGCCACACUGGGACUGAGACACGGCCCAGACUCCUACGGGAGGCAGCAGUAGGGGAUCUUCGGCAAUGGGGGCAACCCUGACCGAGCAACGCCGCGUGAGUGAAGAAGGUUUUCGGAUCGUAAAGCUCUGUUGUAAGAGAAGAACGUGUGUGAGAGUGGAAAGUUCACACAGUGACGGUAACU
rnacentral:rRNA from 1 species